CGAAAGCAAAGCAGCAGUCCCCUGUCACCCUCCCUUUCCCUGCAUUCUGAGGCUGAACUCCCCAGCUGCAAUUCGAUCUACUUCCUUCACCCCAGAAUCUAACUGAUAGAAGGUAAUCAAAUACCAUGUCUGCCCAUGUGAUAGGCCAGAAUUCUUCAGUCUUCUCACCUGAGUACAACAGGCUUGUGCCACCCAGAAGAAUGAAAAGGUAACUCAGAAUAUGUGGGACCCUUACAGCCCAGGAGGAUAUCCUUAUGAAGAAGAGGAAGUAUGGGCCCCGCAAAUCGAAGGCCUGGAGACCCCGCCCGGCCCCCCGGGGCCGAGGGCCCCUUUUCCAGUCCAGCCAUUGGUGAACGGCAACAAAGCCUCAGCAACCGGUUCCUAGUGACCCACCCUCCGGGCGCAGGGUAACCCGGGCGCGGGCCAGCGCGGAGAAAGGAGUGGGCUGUCCCUUUAAGGGAUGGCCGCGGAGCCAUGAAAGUGGAGGGGGCAGAGGGAGGGCGGGGAAGCAGGGCUGGGGGCGGACCCAGGGGGAGGAGGACAACGACUGGGAGG
rnacentral:lncRNA from 1 species